GGCCGCGGGAAUUCGAUUCAGGCCUAACACAUGCAAGUCGAGCGGUAGAGAGAAGCUUGCUUCUCUUGAGAACGGCGGACGGGUGAGUAAUGCCUAGGAAUCUGCCUGGUAGUGGGGGAUAACGUUCGGAAACGGACGCUAAUACCGCAUACGUCCUACGGGAGAAAGCAGGGGACCUUCGGGCCUUGCGCUAUCAGAUGAGCCUAGGUCGGAUUAGCUAGUUGGUGAGGUAAUGGCUCACCAAGGCGACGAUCCGUAACUGGUCUGAGAGGAUGAUCAGUCACACUGGAACUGAGACACGGUCCAGACUCCUACGGGAGGCAGCAGUGGGGAAUAUUGGACAAUGGGCGAA
rnacentral:rRNA from 1 species